UACGUAGGGUGCAAGCGUUGUCCGGAAUUAUUGGGCGUAAAGAGCUCGUAGGCGGUCUGUCGCGUCUGCUGUGAAAACCUGGGGCUUAACCCCGGGCCUGCAGUGGGUACGGGCAGACUAGAGUGCGGUAGGGGAGACUGGAAUUCCUGGUGUAGCGGUGAAAUGCGUAGAUAUCAAGAGGAACACCUGCGGCGAAGGCGGGUAGCUGGGCCGACACUGACGCUGAUGCGCGAAAGCCAGGGGAGCGAACGGG
rnacentral:rRNA from 1 species